AUUGAACGCUGGCGGCAGGCCUAACACAUGCAAGUCGAGCGGAUGAAGGUAGCUUGCUAUCUGAUUCAGCGGCGGACGGGUGAGUAAUGCCUAGGAAUCUGCCUGGUAGUGGGGGACAACGUUUCGAAAGGAACGCUAAUACCGCAUACGUCCUACGGGAGAAAGUGGGGGAUCUUCGGACCUCACGCUAUCAGAUGAGCCUAGGUACGAUUAGCUAGUUGGUGAGGUAAAGGCUCACCAAGGCGACUAUCGUUAACUGGUCUGAGAGGAUGAUCAGUCACACUGGAACUGAGACACGGUCCAGACUCCUACGGGAGGCAGCAGUGGGGAAUAUUGGACAAUGGGCGAAAGCCUGAUCCAGCCAUGCCGCGUGUGUGAAGAAGGUCUUCGGAUUGUAAAGCACUUUAAGUUGGGAGGAAGGGCAGUGAGUUAAUACCUUGCUGUUUUGACGUUACCAACAGAAUAAGCACCGGCUAACUUCGUGCCAGCAGCCGCAGUAACAC
rnacentral:rRNA from 1 species